AGAGUUUGAUUAUGGCUCAGGACGAACGCUGGCGGCACGCUUAACACAUGCAAGUCGAACGAGAGAAGAGAAGCUUGCUUUUCUGAUCUAGUGGCGGACGGGUGAGUAACACGUGAGCAAUCUGCCUUUCAGAGGGGGAUACCGAUUGGAAACGAUCGUUAAUACCGCAUAAUAUAAUUGAACCGCAUGAUUUGAUUAUCAAAGAUUUAUCGCUGAAAGAUGAGCUCGCGUCUGAUUAGCUAGUUGGUAAGGUAACGGCUUACCAAGGCGACGAUCAGUAGCCGGACUGAGAGGUUGAUCGGCCACAUUGGGACUGAGACACGGCCCAG
rnacentral:rRNA from 1 species